UACAGAGGGGGCAAGCGUUAUUCGGAAUUCUUGGGCGUAAAGGGCGCGUAGGCGGCCUGGCAAGUGGAUGGUGAAAUCCCUCGGCUUAACCGAGGAACUGCCGUCCAAACUGCUUGGCUUGAGACCGGGAGAGGUGAGUGGAAUUCCCAGUGUAGCGGUGAAAUGCGUAGAUAUUGGGAGGAACACCAGUGGCGAAGGCGGCUCACUGGACCGGAACUGACGCUGAUGCGCGAAAGCGUGGGGAGCGAACGGG
rnacentral:rRNA from 1 species